UGAAGAGUUUGAUCAUGGCUCAGAUUGAACGCUGGCGGCAGGCUUAACACAUGCAAGUCGAGCGGUAACAGGGGGAGCUUGCUCCCCGCUGACGAGCGGCGGACGGGUGAGUAAUGCAUAGGAAACUGCCCAGUAGUGGGGGAUAGCCCGGGGAAACCCGGAUUAAUACCGCGUACGCCCUUCGGGGGAAAGCAGGGGAUCUUCGGACCUUGCGCUAUUGGAUGUGCCUAUGUCGGAUUAGCUAGUUGGUGGGGUAAGAGCCUACCAAGGCGACGAUCCGUAGCUGGUCUGAGAGGAUGAUCAGCCACAUUGGGACUGAGACACGGCCCAGACUUUUACGGGAGGCAGCAGUAAGGAAUUUUCCGCAAUGGGCGAAAGCCUGACGGAGCAAUACCGCGUGAAGGAUGACGGCCCAUGGGUUGUAAACUUCUUUUCUUGGAGAAGAAUUCUGACGGUAUCCAAGGAAUAAGCAUCGGCUAACUCCGUGCCAGCAGCCG
rnacentral:rRNA from 1 species